UACGUAGGGCGCAAGCGUUAUCCGGAAUUAUUGGGCGUAAAGAGCUCGUAGGCGGUUUGUCGCGUCUGCCGUGAAAGUCCGGGGCUCAACUCCGGAUCUGCGGUGGGUACGGGCAGACUAGAGUGAUGUAGGGGGAGACUGGAAUUCCUGGUGUAGCGGUGAAAUGCGCAGAUAUCGGGAGGAACACCAGUAGCGAAGGCGACACUCUGGGCCGGUACUGACGCUGAGGAGCGAAAGCGUGGGGAGCAAACAGG
rnacentral:rRNA from 1 species